rnacentral:rRNA from 1 species
GUCCACGCCUAACGAUGUCAACUAGGUGUUGGGAAGCGAUUUCUCAGUACCGCAGCUAACGCGUGAAGUUGACCGCCUGGGGAGUACGGUCGCAAGAUUAAACUCAAGGAAUUGACGGGACCCGCACAAGCGGUGGAUGAUGUGGAUUAAUUCGAUGCAACGCGAAACCUUACCUACCCUUGACAUGUACGGAAGCCUUCAGAAAUGAGGGUGUGCUCGAAAGAGAGCCGUAACACAGGUGCUGCAUGGCUGUCGU